AAACUAACAAGGAUUCCCCUAGUAACGGCGAGUGAAGCGGGAAGAGCUCAAAUUUGAAAUCUGGUAGCCUUCGGUUGCCCGAGUUGUAAUCUAGAGAAGUGUUUUCCGCGUUGGCCCAUGUACAAGUCCCUUGGAACAGGGCGUCAUAGAGGGUGAGAAUCCCGUCCUUGACAUGGACCCCCAAUGCUUUGUGAUACACUUUCAACGAGUCGAGUUGUUUGGGAAUGCAGCUCAAAAUGGGUGGUGAAUUCCAUCUAAAGCUAAAUAUUGGCGAGAGACCGAUAGCGAACAAGUACCGUGAGGGAAAGAUGAAAAGCACUUUGGAAAGAGAGUUAAACAGUACGUGAAAUUGUUGAAAGGGAAACGAUUGAAGUCAGUCAUGCUCUUUGGAUUAAGCCGUUCUGCGGUGUAUUUCAUUGAGCGGGGUCAACAUCAGUUUUGAUCGCUGGAAAAGGGCAGGAGGAAGGUAGCACUCUCGGGUGAACUUAUAGCCUCUUGUCGUAUACAGUGAUUGGGACUGAGGAACGCAGCAUGCCUUUUGGCCGGGAUUCGUCCACGUACAUGCUAGGAUUGAC
rnacentral:rRNA from 1 species